CCGUGGGCAUUUGUACUGAGCUGUGACAUCUCUAACCCGUGACAUUGGGGUCCAGCAAGUACCAAAGAGCCGGUGAGGACCGUGGGCGUUUGUACUGAGCUGUGACAUCUCUGACCCGUGACAUUGGGGUCCAGCAAGUACCAAAGAGCCGGUGAGGACCGUGGGCAUUUGUACUGAGCUGUGACAUCUCUAACCCGUGACAUUGGGGUCCAGCAAGUACCAAAGAGCAGGUGAGGACCGUGGGCAUUUGUACUGAGCUGUGACAUCUCUAACCCGUGACACUGGGGUCCAGCAAGGACCAAAGAGCAGGUGAGGACCGUGGGCGUUUGUACUGAGCUGUGACAUCUCUAACCCGUGACACUGGGGUCCAGCAAGGACCAAAGAGCAGGUGAGGACCGUGGGCAUUUGUACUGAGCUGUGACAUCUCUAACCGGUGACAUUGGGGUCCAGCAAGGACCAAAGAGCAGGUGAGGACCGUGGGCGUUUGUACUGAGCUGUGACAUCUCUAACCCGUGACACUGGGGUCCAGCAAGUACCAAAGAGCCGGUGAGGACCGUGGGCGUUUGUACUGAGCUGUGACAUCUCUGACCCGUGACAUUGGGGUCCAGCAAGUACCAAAGAGCCGGUGAGGACCGUGGGCAUUUGUACUGAGCUGUGACAUCUCUAACCCGUGACAUUGGGGUCCAGCAAGUACCAAAGAGCCGGUGAGGACCGUGGGCGUUUGUACUGAGCUGUGACAUCUCUGACCCGUGACAUUGGGGUCCAGCAAGUACCAAAGAGCCGGUGAGGACCGUGGGCAUUUGUACUGAGCUGUGACAUCUCUAACCCGUGACAUUGGGGUCCAGCAAGUACCAAAGAGCAGGUGAGGACCGUGGGCAUUUGUACUGAGCUGUGACAUCUCUAACCCGUGACACUGGGGUCCAGCAAGGACCAAAGAGCAGGUGAGGACCGUGGGCGUUUGUACUGAGCUGUGACAUCUCUAACCCGUGACACUGGGGUCCAGCAAGUACCAAAGAGCAGGUGAGGACCGUGGGCGUUUGUACUGAGCUGUGACAUCUCUAACCCGUGACACUGGGGUCCAGCAAGUACCAAAGAGCAGGUGAGGACCGUGGGCGUUUGUACUGAGCUGUGACAUCUCUAACCCGUGACAUUGGGGUCCAGCAAGGACCAAAGAGCAGGUGAGGACCGUGGGCGUUUGUACUGAGCUGUGACAUCUCUAACCGGUGACAUUGGGGUCCAGCAAGGACCAAAGAGCAGGUGAGGACCGUGGGCGUUUGUACUGAGCUGUGACAUCUCUAAGGCGUGUGCGAGGGGCUGGGGCCAAGGCAAGGUGGGCGCGCUGUGGGGUGUGGGGAGGUGUCAGCCCCCAGACUUGUCCCCUGUCUGACUGUAGUGCCCGUGGGCUGCUGUAGCUCAGUCCUUCGUGUGUUUCUCUUCAGGUGGAGCAGCGUGCGAAGGAAAAAGGAAGCAGAGGAAGACGGUGAGCCUGCGAGGAAGAGUGUAGCGAGUCGGGCAUGGACUCACGGGGAGCAGCGUGCAAAGGAAAAGCGAGGAAGGAGGCAGAGUGAUGGAUACAGAGGGUUGGAGCGCACCUGCCGGCCAGGAGGGAUCAGGGAAGAAGACACCGGUGGUGGAACCGCAGGUCAGGAGAGCUCAAGGAGGGAGAAAGGUGACUGUGGCCAUAUGGGUUUUUCUAGCUCACACACCAAUGAAAACAGUUUGGAUAAUAAAAGAAAUGUAUGCAAAACCAAUAAGUAAAGGCAGAGAAUGUUUAUAUGCGAUGUAUGGGAUAGACCUGAAGGUGUAUUUAUUCCUACGACAAAGGAGAAUUCGCAAUGGUAAUUAACUGAGGAUGUGAAUUUCCAGAUUGCAUUGGCAACAUACGCAGGGAACAUAUCAGUUUAUUACCCUCAACAUAAAGUGUGGGCUGAAACUGGUAAUUUACCGUUGUGCAGCAAACGCUGCUGUCAGCAACGACCAGUAAGUGACAAGACUGUAAUUACUGAUGGCUCUGGUCGCUCACGUGAAGUUGUAAUGACGUGGCUGAACUCAGAUACCCAGUGCUGCAAACACAAGGUAGAGAAAGAGACCAAGGGUCCAACAAGUUCCUGAGCUGACAGCUGUUGGGAUCGCUGUGAGGUGUUCUGCAACAAACCUUUGAAUGUUGGAACUGGCUCGUAUUAUGCAGCUGGCAUACUUAACCGCCUGGAAGCUUCUUUUCUUAAGGAAGAGGACAAUCCUCUUUUGAUGGCUGAAUUGAGAAUGCUAUGGUUUCUAAUCAAUCACAGACAUCAUGGUUUUUAUGCAAUGCACACCCGCUCUCGCACGGCCCUUCCAGGACCUCUUGCGGAAGGCAAUAGGAGGGCCGAUGCACAAGCUGUGCUGCUCACUGUGCCUGAAGCCUUGCAGCAAGCUAAAUGAUCACAUGAAUCCUUUCACCAGAGUGCAAAGGCGUUAAAACGACAAUUUCAAAUGACAGUGGAUCAGGCCAGGAGCGUUCUUAUGUCCUGCCCUGAUUGCCAGCAGUCGGCGCCCGUGCCGUGCACAGAGGGUGUGAAUCCAGGAGGGAUUGCUGCCAGUGAAGUACGGCCAGCUGGGGUGACGCGUUGUUCUGAAUGGGGUAAAUACGUACGUGUUUCUGUACGCGCUCAUUCCGGAUUUCUCGUUGCUGCUGCACACGCUGGUGAAAGAGCACGAGACGUCUGUGACGUUGGUUGACAUGUUCACUGUUUGAGGAGUUCCACGAUAUGUAAAACCAGAGGAAAGCGGAACGCACGCUGGAUUAGAGGAGCGAUCCCCCGAGUGCCCAGCGCGCUGUAAUAGAAGUGCCUGCUGUUUAACACUUUCAAAACAGCGAUAGCGAGUCUGUUUGCCGACUUUCCGGUAUCAUGUUCUGGCGACGAGGAUGGGAUGAUCUGCCUGACCUGCCGUGGUCCCCAGGGUCUCUGGGACCUUGUGCCGGCACCGGGGAAUUCCCGGAAGGGACCACGGAUCCUGGGACCAGCUCGGACGCGGGUGAAACCCCAUCAGUGAGAUGAGGCGCUUUCACUGUAAAAAUAAAGCUUUCCCCCCUUAAUUUUUGUCACAUAUUGUAAUUAGAAUUAAUAGAGAUAUUGAAGCCCGUCCUAGCUGAACUGGAGAAAAGACAGCAGCCAUGUGUAUUUUUAAAUAAAGAGUAAAUCAAGUCUGCUA